GAUGAAGAACGUAGCGAAAUGCGAUACGUAAUGUGAAUUGCAGAAUUCAGUGAAUCAUCGAGUCUUUGAACGCACAUUGCGCCCCCUGGUAUUCCGGGGGGCAUGCCUGUCCGAGCGUCAUUGCUGCCCUCAAGCACGGCUUGUGUGUUGGGCCUCCGCCCCCCGGCUCCCGGGGGGCGGGCCCGAAAGGCAGCGGCGGCACCGCGUCCGGUCCUCGAGCGUAUGGGGCUUCGUCACCCGCUCCGUAGGCCCGGCCGGCGCCCGCCGGCGACCCCCCUCAAUCUUUCCAGGUUGACCUCGGAUCAGGUAGGGAUACCCGCUGAACUUAAGCAUAUCAAUAAGCGGAGG
rnacentral:misc_RNA from 1 species